rnacentral:rRNA from 1 species
CAGGCUGAUCUCCCCCAAGAGUCCACAUCGACGGGGAGGUUUGGCACCUCGAUGUCGGCUCAUCGCAUCCUGGGGCUGGAGAAGGUCCCAAGGGUUGGGCUGUUCGCCCAUUAAAGCGGUACGUGAGCUGGGUUUAGAACGUCGUGAGACAGUUCGGUCCCUAUCCGCCGCGGGCGCAGGAGACUUGAGGGGGGCCGCUCCUAGUACGAGAGGACCGGAGUGGACGGACCUCUGGUGUACCGGUUGUUCCGCCAGGAGCAGCGCCGGGUAGCCAUGUCUGGUGUGGAUAACCGCUGAAGGCAUCUAAGCGGGAAGCCCACCCCGAGAUGAGGUCUCCCAGGACCGCGAGGUCCCUGAAGGCCCCUGGUAGACUACCAGGUAGAUAGGCCCUAGGUGGAAGCUCAGCAAUGGGUGGAGCCGAGGGGUACUAAUGGGCCGUGAGGCUUGACCCCU